rnacentral:rRNA from 1 species
AAACCCCCUUGAAGACGACGAGGUAGAUAGGGCAGAGGUGGAAGUGCAGUAAUGCAUGGAGCUGACUGUUACUAAUCGGGUGAGGGCUUGACCAAG